rnacentral:tRNA from 1 species
GUCCAGGGAUGGGAAACUAACCCACAGUGUUCCGCUUACCGGGCAGAUGCCAUGUCCACUAGGCUACCCUGGA